rnacentral:rRNA from 1 species
UACGUAGGGGGCAAGCGUUGUCCGGAAUCAUUGGGCGUAAAGCGCACGUAGGCGGCCCUGUAAGUCCGCUGUAAAAGUCAAAGGCUCAACCUUUGAAAGCCGGUGGAUACUGCAGGGCUAGAGUCCGGAAGAGGCGAGUGGAAUUCCUGGUGUAGCGGUGGAAUGCGCAGAUAUCAGGAGGAACACCAAUAGCGAAGGCAGCUCGCUGGGACGGUACUGACGCUAAGGUGCGAAAGCGUGGGGAGCGAACAGG